GACGAACGCUGGCGGCGUGCUUAACGCACGCAAGUCGAACGGAAAGGCCCUGCUUUUGUGGGGUGCUCGAGUGGCGAACGGGUGAGUAACACGUGAGUAACCUGCCCUUGACUUUGGGAUAACUUCAGGAAACUGGGGCUAAUACCGGAUAGGAGCUCCUGCUGCAUGGUGGGGGUUGGAAAGUUUCGGCGGUUGGGGAUGGACUCGCGGCUUAUCAGCUUGUUGGUGGGGUAGUGGCUUACCAAGGCUUUGACGGGUAGCCGGCCUGAGAGGGUGACCGGCCACAUUGGGACUGAGAUACGGCCCAGACUCCUACGGGAGGCAGCAGUGGGGAAUAUUGCACAAUGGGCGGAAGCCUGAUGCAGCAACGCCGCGUGCGGGAUGACGGCCUUCGGGUUGUAAACCGCUUUCGCCUGUGACGAAGCGUGAGUGACGGUAAUGGGUAAAGAAGCACCGGCUAACUACGUG
rnacentral:rRNA from 1 species